CCUACGGGUGGCAGCAGUGGGGAAUAUUGCACAAUGGGGGAAACCCUGAUGCAGCAACGCCGCGUGAGUGAAGAAGUAUUUCGGUAUGUAAAGCUCUAUCAGCAGGGAAGAAGAAAGACGGUACCUGACUAAGAAGCCCCGGCUAACUACGUGCCAGCAGCCGCGGUAAUACGGAGGGGGCAAGCGUUAUCCGGAUUUACUGGGUGUAAAGGGAGCGUAGACGGCAGGACAAGUCUGGAGUGAAAUCCCGGGGCUUAACCCCGGAAUUGCUUUGGAAACUGUGCGGCUGGAGUGCAGGGGGGGUAAGCGGAAUUCGUAGUGUAGCGGUGAAAUGCGUAGAUAUUAGGAAGAACACCGGUGGCGAAGGCGGCUUACUGAACUGUAACUGACAUUGAUGCUCGAAAGUGUGGGUAUCAAACAGGAUUAGAUACCCUUGUAGUC
rnacentral:rRNA from 1 species